UACGUAGGGCGCAAGCGUUGUCCGGAAUUAUUGGGCGUAAAGAGCUCGUAGGCGGUCUGUCGCGUCGGCUGUGAAAACCCGAGGCUCAACCUCGGGCCUGCAGUCGAUACGGGCAGACUAGAGUGCUGUAGGGGAGACUGGAAUUCCUGGUGUAGCGGUGAAAUGCGCAGAUAUCAGGAGGAACACCGGUGGCGAAGGCGGGUCUCUGGGCAGUAACUGACGCUGAGGAGCGAAAGCAUGGGGGAGCGAACAGG
rnacentral:rRNA from 1 species